rnacentral:misc_RNA from 1 species
CCAAUUCGAACAUGUGGAGGGUGUUUGCAAAAACACCAGCCCAACCAACCCCUGAUUGUGAACUUUGAGAAUUAAAAAUCAAGUCUCCCCUCUGCGUUUUAAUGCGUGGAGGGGAGCAAUUUUUAUCCAACCCCUUGACAAAAUCUGCAUCUCGUAUGCGGAGAAAAAAGCAAGCGUUGAGCUCCGAGAAAAAAAGAAACAAUAAUGUCAUGUA